rnacentral:sRNA from 1 species
CCACGAUGAUGAGGCGUGGCGCGGCAUCCUG